AUGUACAUUAAAGCUUUUGAGGAAGAAUCAGAUAAGCCAUCAGCAGUAAUCGCAGUACCUGGUAUAGAAGGACGAAUCUGCCAUAUUUUCCAGCACAUGAAAGAACACUUACAUCAAGUUAGAAUUGCAAGAAAACAGAGUUUCAGAGUUUUACCAACCAUUAGUGAUACUGCAUCUGAAAAUUCUGAUUCUAAUUGAAAUAUAAUAUAGGUAACAUGUUUCAUCUGUAAAUGCCAAAAUGAAUCUGGUCAACUAACAUACAAUUUGCAUUGCUAAAUAUAGUAAUAUAAUCGACAGUGUUAUAGAAUUGAUGUUGAUACUAGCAAUACUGCACUACAUGUUCAUUUUAUUUGAUUCUUAUCAUGUCUUAUAGCUUUUGACUCUCAGAUGUAUGACUUUAGGAAACAAUAUAGGUACAAUUUUGAAUAUGUUUUUGAUUUAAAUAUAUAUAAUGUAUGUUUCCAGAUUAAACGAGUUGCAUGCUUACUUUUCCACAAUAAUUUAUAUGUUGUUUUUCCUUUUAAUCUUGCUUUGCUUAUGUUUUCUAUCUGAAUGAAAUAUAGACACACAUAUACAUAUAUAUGUAUAUAUAUAGGAAUAUUUGUAUUUAUAUGUAUGUAUAUACUUUUCCUUCCAUUGUUGCCUUAAAAUCACCUUAUUUCACUAUUAUGAUUCUGAUUUGGAUCAGAAUAAGGAAAAAUAAAGUAAAUAUCUAAUACUGAUCUUGACUGUUCUUUUGUAACAUAAAUGAGAUUGUAAAGUAUAGCAAAGGAAUAAUAAAAACUUUAUUUAAAGAUGUCCUGAAUUUUCAUCUUAAUGAAAUAUACCAUGUAUUUUUAUGCAGUUUAAUUACUUAUCCUUUCAAUAAAAGCAGUAUUUCUUACCAAAAAAAG
rnacentral:lncRNA from 1 species